rnacentral:rRNA from 1 species
CCUACGGGUGGCAGCAGUGGGGAAUAUUGGGCAAUGGAGGCAACUCUGACCCAGCAACGCCGCGUGAAUGAUGAAGGUCUUCGGAUUGUAAAGUUCUUUUCUAAGGGAAGAAGAAAGUGACGGUACCUUAGAAAUAAGCCUCGGCUAACUACGUGCCAGCAGCCGCGGUAAUACGUAGGAGGCAAGCGUUAUUCGGAAUGACUGGGCGUAAAGGGUGCGUAGGUGGGUUGACAAGUUAAGAGCGAAACCCCGGAGCUCAACUUAGGAACUACUAAUAAAACUGGUGGACUUGAGUGCGGGAGGGGCAAGUGGAAUUCCUAGUGUAGCGGUGGAAUGCGUAGAUAUUAGGAGGAACAUCAGUGGCGAAGGCGGAUUGCUAGACUGUAACUGACACUGAGGCACGAAAGCGUGGGGAGCAAACAGGAUUAGAUACCCUAGUAGUC